rnacentral:lncRNA from 1 species
UCCAUUUUCAUUUCCCAUACCUCUCCUAGGCCUUUGUUUGGGUCACAGAAUAUCUUGAAUGCAGAGCUCACACAGGUUGUGAUAGGCUUUACUUCUAUCACUAACUGGAAACAAAGAAAAUCUACACUGAAGGAAACCUUUUCAAGUCGAACUUCUGUCAAGCAAUUGGAGGAGCAUGUGGUUUUGUGGUAAGAUUUGUCAGAGAGAGUUGUGGAAGUGGCUAAGUGUUGCAAGUGGUAAAUGACUACUUCAAUGCCCACAUACUGUGUGAGUGGUGCCUGCUCUUUACCCCAUCAGUUUCUGAUCUCCGCUGAAGCUCAGAAAGAGAUCGUCACUUGUUAAACACAACCAUAUCACAAGCCAUUUUUAAUGUUUUAAAAAUUUAUUGCUACAUGUGGAAUAAAUAUGCCAUGAGCUAUUAAAAACUUUAAUUUUCCAUUAAAAAGUAUUGAAGAAAAGCUUAUUCAUUUGACCAGCCCAGGUCAUGUGGAUUCGCUAUAUGGAAUAUGAUUGAAGGAUGAUUA